rnacentral:rRNA from 1 species
ACGGAAGGCAGCAGUGGGGAAUAUUGGGCAAUGGGCGAAAGCCUGACCCAGCGACGCCGCGUGAAGGAAGACGGUCUUCGGAUUGUAAACUUCUUUUAUGUAGGACGAAGAAAAUGACGGUACUACAUGAAUAAGCCACGGCUAACUACGUGCCAGCAGCCGCGGUAAUACGUAGGUGGCGAGCGUUAUCCGGAUUUACUGGGUGUAAAGGGUGUGUAGGCGGGACUGCAAGUCAGAAGUGAAAAUUAUGGGCUCAACUCAUAACUUGCUUUUGAGACUGUGGUUCUUGAGGGUCGGAGAGGUAACUGGAAUUCCUGGUGUAGCGGUGAAAUGCGUAGAUAUCAGGAGGAACACCGGUGGCGAAGGCGGGUUACUGGACUGAAACUGACACUGAGGCACGAAAGCGUGGGGAGCAAACAGGAUUAGAUACCCUGGUA